GAGCGUUAACCCUACGAUUCGUGGUCUUGAUAGCCUCAUCGAGAGUGAGGAACGAGGUCUGAAGCGAGGCGAGCUCGACGAGAACCUCGAUGGCCUUGAUGUAGGCAACGCGGCACUGCUGCACCUGCUGGCCGCCCCGCGCCAGUCCGGUGAGGUCGUUCUUGUUGGCGUCAGCGUCGGAGGUGUAGUCGAACUUGGGGAGCUUGACGCCGGCGACGUUUUCCUGGCGCGAGCGGACGCGGAGGGAGGCUUCCCGGACGUUCUCGAGGACGACGUGCUUGAUAUUGUCGCCGGCGACGUACUUGGCCUCGGUGAGCGCGAACGACGAGGUUUUCAUGAUAUCGCCCAUGGAUUCCUUCGUGGUCACGAUCUUCUUCAGGAUCUGGCGGAACUGCAC
rnacentral:lncRNA from 1 species